GCAUUAAUGGGGUAGUGGUAACCUGGGUCGUUGCCAUUUAGCUCUCGACCCGCCGGGGGUUCGAUUCCCUCUUAAUGCA